rnacentral:rRNA from 1 species
AACGAACGCUGGCGGCGUGGAUAAGACAUUCGGGCAUUAGCGGCUCCCUUGACGUGACCAAUAUUCUGUGUGCUCAGCGGCGCAAGGGUGCGUAACACGUGGGUAAUUUGCCAUGAAGUCUGGGAUAACUUGCUGAAAGGCGAGCUAAUACCGGAUGUGACUUCCGAAGGGCAUCUUUUGGAAAUCAAAGCUGGGGAUCGUAAGACCUGGCGCUUCGCGAUAAGCCCGCGCCCUAUCAGCUAGUUGGUGUGGUAACGGCACACCAAGGCUUAGACGGGUAGCUGGUCUGAGAGGACGAUCGGCCACACUGGAACUGAGACACGGUCCAGACACCUACGGGUGGCAGCAGUCGAGAAUCAUUCACAAUGGGCGAAAGCCUGAUGGUGCGACGCCGCGUGGGGGAUGAAGGUCUUCGGAUCGUAAACCCCUGUCAUUUGUUAACAAACCUUUGAGGUUAAUACCCUUAAAGCUGAUAGUAGCAAAAGAGGAAGGGACGGCUAACUCUGUGCCAGCAGCCGCGGUAAUACAGAGGUCCCAAGCGUUGUUCGGAUUUACUGGGCGUAAAGGGUGCGUAGGUGGUCAGAUUAGUCUGAUGUGAAAGCUCUGGGCUCAACCCAGAAAUUGCAUUGGAAACUGUUUGACUUGAGGAUCGGAGGGGAGUCUGGAAUUCCAGGUGUAGCAGUGAAAUGCGUAGAUAUCUGGAGGAACAUCAGUGGCGAAGGCGAGACUCUGGACGAUUCCUGACACUGAGGCACGAAGGCUAGGGGAGCAAACAGGAUUAGAUACCCUGGUAGUCCUAGCAGUAAACGGUGUGCACUUGCUGUAGGCGGAUUCGACCCCGCCUGUGGCGGAGCUAACGCGUUAAGUGCACCGCCUGGGGAGUACGGUCGCAAGAUUAAAACUCAAAGAAAUUGACGGGGGCCUGCACAAGCGGUGGAGUAUGUGGCUUAAUUCGAUGCAACGCGAAGAACCUUACCUGGCCUUGACAUGUAUCUAGUACGACCGUGAAAGGGUGACGAGGUAGCAAUACCAAUUUGCACAGGUGCUGCAUGGCUGUCGUCAGCUCGUGUCGUGAGAUGUUGGGUUAAGUCCCGCAACGAGCGCAACCCUUGUGUCCUGUUGCCACUCGAACGAGAGUUCGAAGCACUCUGGACAGACUGCCCCGUUUAAACGGGGAGGAAGGUGGGGAUGACGUCAAGUCAGUAUGGCCCUUACGGCCAGGGCUGCACACGUACUACAAUGCCCGGCACAAAGGGAUGCAAUACCGUGAGGUGGAGCGAAUCCCAUAAAACCGGGCCCAGUUCGGAUUGUAGUCUGCAACUCGACUACAUGAAGCCGGAAUCGCUAGUAAUGGCGCAUCAGCUACGGCGCCGUGAAUACGUUCCCAGGCCUUGUACACACCGCCCGUCACAUCAUGAAAGCCGGUUGUACCCGAAGUCGCCCCUAAGAAGGUGCCGAAGGUAUGGAUGGUGAUUGGGAUG